GUCCUUUUGAAUUUAAUUUAAGGUUUAACCUGCCCACUGAUUUUUUGAAGGGCCGCAGUAAUUUGACUGUGCAAAGGUAGCAUAAUCAUUAGUUUUUUAAUUGAAAGCUUGUAUGAAGGGUUGGACGAGGUAAAUUCUGUCUCUAUUUAAUUUUAUAUAAAAUUUAAUUUUUAAGUUAAAAAGCUUAAAUUUAAUUAAAAGACGAGAAGACCCUAUAGAUCUUUAUAUUAAAAAUAUUAAUUUUAAUUAAGAAUAUUUAAUUUUUUAAUUUUUAUAAUAUUUUAUUGGGGUAAUAAAAAGAUUAAAAUAAUUCUUUUUUUAUUUUUACAUUGAUUUAUGAAUAUAUGAUCCAAUUUUAUUGAUUAAAAGAUUAAGUUACCUUAGGGAUAACAGCGUAAUUUUUUUAGAGAGUUCAUAUCGAUAAAAAAGUUUGCGACCUCGAUGUUGGAUUAAAAAUUAUCUUAGGUGCAGAAGUUUAAGAUUUUGGUCUGUUCGACCAUUGAAUUUUU
rnacentral:rRNA from 1 species